rnacentral:rRNA from 1 species
GACGAACGCUGGCGCGCUUGCUUAACACAUGCAAGUCGAACGGAAAGGCCCUGCUUUUGUGGGGUGCUCGAGUGGCGAACGGGUGAGUAACACGUGAGUAACCUGCCCUUGACUUUGGGAUAACUUCAGGAAACUGGGGCUAAUACCGGAUAGGAGCUCCUGCUGCAUGGUGGGGGUUGGAAAGUUUCGGCGGUUGGGGAUGGACUCGCGGCUUAUCAGCUUGUUGGUGGGGUAGUGGCUUACCAAGGCUUUGACGGGUAGCCGGCCUGAGAGGGUGACCGGCCACAUUGGGACUGAGAUACGGCCCAGACUCCUACGGGAGGCAGCAGUGGGGAAUAUUGCACAAUGGGCGGAAGCCUGAUGCAGCAACGCCGCGUGCGGGAUGACGGCCUUCGGGUUGUAAACCGCUUUCGCCUGUGACGAAGCGUGAGUGACGGUAAUGGGUAAAGAAGCACCGGCUAACUACGUGCCAGCAGCCGCGGUGAUACGUAGGGUGCGAGCGUUGUCCGGAUUUAUUGGGCGUAAAGGGCUCGUAGGUGGUUGAUCGCGUCGGAAGUGUAAUCUUGGGGCUUAACCCUGAGCGUGCUUUCGAUACGGGUUGACUUGAGGAAGGUAGGGGAGAAUGGAAUUCCUGGUGGAGCGGUGGAAUGCGCAGAUAUCAGGAGGAACACCAGUGGCGAAGGCGGUUCUCUGGGCCUUUCCUGACGCUGAGGAGCGAAAGCGUGGGGAGCGAACAGGCUUAGAUACCCUGGUAGUCCACGCUGUAAACGGUGGGUACUAGGUGUGGGGUCCAUUCCACGGGUUCCGUGCCGUAGCUAACGCUUUAAGUACCCCGCCUGGGGAGUACGGCCGCAAGGCUAAAACUCAAAGGAAUUGACGGGGCCCCGCACAAGCGGCGGAGCAUGCGGAUUAAUUCGAUGCAACGCGUAGAACCUUACCUGGGUUUGACAUGGAUCGGGAGCGCUCAGAGAUGGGUGUGCCUCUUUUGGGGUCGGUUCACAGGUGGUGCAUGGCUGUCGUCAGCUCGUGUCGUGAGAUGUUGGGUUAAGUCCCGCAACGAGCGCAACCCUUGUUCACUGUUGCCAGCACGUUAUGGUGGGGACUCAGUGGAGACCGCCGGGGUCAACUCGGAGGAAGGUGGGGAUGACGUCAAGUCAUCAUGCCCCUUAUGUCCAGGGCUUCACGCAUGCUACAAUGGCUGGUACAGAGAGUGGCGAGCCUGUGAGGGUGAGCGAAUCUCGGAAAGCCGGUCUCAGUUCGGAUUGGGGUCUGCAACUCGACCUCAUGAAGUCGGAGUCGCUAGUAAUCGCAGAUCAGCAACGCUGCGGUGAAUACGUUCCCGGG